rnacentral:lncRNA from 1 species
CAUUAUCUUAUGCAUGAGAUUGAACUUAUAAGGGCGAUUCUUCAAGGAGUUGAAUGUUUUUGACUUUCUAUUUUUCCUAUUCCCGCUACAAUUAUAUUUAGAAUUGUUAGCCUUUGUCGGACAUUCCUUUGGGGAUCUAAAAAGCCGUUAGUUGCAUGGAAGAAUAUUUGCCUUCCGAAGGAGGAAGGGGACCUUGGACUUAAGGACUUGAAGAGUUGGAAUUUAGCGUUACUUGCUAAAUCCUUUUGGAACAUUCACAAUAAAAAAGACUCCAUAUGGAUUCGGUGGUUCCAUCAUGUUUAUCUUAAUGGGACUUGCAUAUGGGAGGUUUGUCCUAUAAAGGUUCAUUCUCCACUCUUCAAGAAACUUCUUAAAAUUAGGGACAUUAUUUGUGUAAAUGCUGCUGCCCAACAGUUUUCUUUUCAUGGACAGCAAGGGAGAACGGAUCAGAUGGUUGUUAGAUUUUCCCCCUCUCGACAUGCUAUUUCAGGCAAAAUUUUAAGGGCUGAAAAUGCACAAAACUAGGCAGUUAAUGGGCAGUACUUGGAAAGCAACACAGGCCAGCAGUUUCCUUCAUUCGGUAGGCAGUUUUUGAAAAUUUGGAACGAAAAUCUGGGCUGUUCUACAUGUGAUAAAUUCGAGACAAAAAUUGCCUAUAAUUUCUUUAGGCCUAAGGGUACUUUCAAACCUUGGGGAGCAGAAGUUUGGAAAACGUGCAUCACUCCGAAGCAUUCUUUUAUGCUUUGGUUAGGGGCCCAAUCAAAAUUCCUAACUAAAGAGAAAUUACUUUUCUUGGAUAUUAAUCGCAAGUGUGAUUUUUGUGGAAACUUGUGAGUAUCUUUUCUUCAAGUGUUCCUUCACUUCUACCUUAUGGGGGAAUAUUAGGCGGUGGCUCGACAUUACGAGAUCUAUGUCAACAAUUGUUAGUGCUCUUAAGUGGUUGAAAAAAGAGGCCAUUGGGACUUCUUGGCAUAGUAAAGCGAAGAGGAUUGCUCUUGCAAACACUGUGUACUACAUUUGGCUUACAAGGAAUAGGAAGAUAUUCGAAGACCUCUCACCCGACUUGGAUUCUAUAGUGAGACGGAUCAAGACACACGUAUAAAAAGU